CUUUUAUGCAUAUCAUUUGCAUCAAAACAACAUUUCAACAGACCAAUCCUUAUUCCAAUUGUCAGCACCCUAUAAAUAGAGAGAACCUCCUUCUUCUGUCUGUCUCAGAAUCUCUUCUCUACAUUGACGCUUCCCAACCAAACUUCAGCUAUGAAGAUCCUUUACCUUCUUUUUGCUGUCCUCUUCCUCAUGAUGCAGGCUGGUGUGGAAGGACACUGUACUGGUAUGAGGCACCGAUGCUGGCACAGAAGAGGAAGGUGCUACCACGGAAGUUGCCCCCAUCAUACACGUUAUAUCGGACCUUGCUGCGGGGGGCAUGUUUGCUGUAGAUCAAUCCAUUCCUAAUUCCACAUGGGAACCACCAUGAUAUAAACAGAGGGCCCGAGGGAAUGGUGGCAGCAGAGAUUGUCAAAGGAGCAUCUCUGGGAAUCUGGG